GGAUCGGUAGUCUAGUUGGCAGGAUGACGCACUCACACUGCGUAGGUCAAGGGUUCAAAUCCCUUCCGAUCCA
rfam:Thaumarchaeota archaeon 13_1_20CM_2_39_20 13_1_20cm_2_scaffold_5171, whole genome shotgun sequence.